AGCUCAGUGGUAGAGUGUGUGCUUAGCAUGCACAAGGUCCUGGGUUCAAUCCCCAG
rnacentral:tRNA from 1 species